GGAGGAAGUCCUCUUCCUUUUUUUGGGUGGAACAGCCAGGCCCCUCCAGUUCUCAACUGCAUCUUCAUCAGCCGGAGGAAUUUUUGUGGCAGCAUCAGAUCCCACAAACGGAACAAAUCCGCAUAUUUCCCUCGAUGAAGGAAAGAUGACGAGCAAUGAAGCGAUCGACUCGAACAGGCAAGUUUUCAUGUUUGAAAAGGCCGUGUUUUAUGUUUUUGAACUCAGCUUCAACAGUGGCUGAACUUGCUGUGAUGCUGGUGCUUUGGAAGAGAGGGACCAUUAUUCCUGUCCAGAGAGGCAAGUAACUUGUGAGUCUUAUUAUAUGAGGAAUAAUCUCAGGGAGAAAGUGAAUAUUAUCUCUGUCCCCGUUUGCUGCAGCAGGUGACCUGCUCUCCUCACAUAUUUCUGUUACCCAGUGUCGUAGGUCAGUCUGGAUCUCAUCCACUGAAUCCACUCUCUCACUUUCCUCCGUCUGUUCAUCUGGAAUGAUGAUGGAGUCUUGAGCAAUUUGGCCUUUCAGGUAUUUCUUGCACCUUUCUGAAGGAAGGGGGGCUCCAGAACUGUCAUCAGCCUCUGCCUCACUGAGGGCCACAACAGUGAUAGCACGCAGUCCCACUGGCAUAUCAGCUUGAUGCAGUGCGCAACAUCAACCCUGGUAAAACGGGGGGAGUUUGGCAGACUGGGUUCCAACAAGGACAUGAAAGC